UACGAAGGGGGCUAGCGUUGCUCGGAAUCACUGGGCGUAAAGGGUGCGUAGGCGGGUCUUUAAGUCAGGGGUGAAAUCCUGGAGCUCAACUCCAGAACUGCCUUUGAUACUGAGGAUCUUGAGUCCGGGAGAGGUGAGUGGAACUGCGAGUGUAGAGGUGAAAUUCGUAGAUAUUCGGAAGAACACCAGUGGCGAAGGCGACUCACUGGCCCGAUACUGACGCUGAGGCGCGAAAGCGUGGGGAGCAAACAGG
rnacentral:rRNA from 1 species